UGUUGGGAUAUUAUUUAAACAACCUAAC
rnacentral:piRNA from 1 species